AUUGAACGCUGGCGGCAGGCCUAACACAUGCAAGUCGAACGGUAACAGGAAGAAGCUUGCUUCUUUGCUGACGAGUGGCGGACGGGUGAGUAAUGUCUGGGAAACUGCCUGAUGGAGGGGGAUAACUACUGGAAACGGUAGCUAAUACCGCAUAACGUCGCAAGACCAAAGAGGGGGACCUUCGGGCCUCUUGCCAUCGGAUGUGCCCAGAUGGGAUUAGCUGGUAGGUGGGGUAACGGCUCACCUAGGCGACGAUCCCUAGCUGGUCUGAGAGGAUGACCAGCCACACUGGAACUGAGACACGGUCCAGACUCCUACGGGAGGCAGCAGUGGGGAAUAUUGCACAAUGGGCGCAAGCCUGAUGCAGCCAUGCCGCGUGUAUGAAGAAGGCCUUCGGGUUGUAAAGUACUUUCAGCGGGGAGGAAGGGAGUAAAGUUAAUACCUUUACUCAUUGACGUUACCCGCAGAAGAAGCACCGGCUAACUCCGUG
rnacentral:rRNA from 1 species